UCGCGGUAUGGGAUGGGGUCGCGUCCUAUCAGCUUGACGGCGGGGUAACGGCCCACCGUGGCUUCGACGGGUAGCCGGCCUGAGAGGGCGACCGGCCACAUUGGGACUGAGAUACGGCCCAGACUCCUACGGGGGGCAGCAGUGGGGAAUAUUGCACAAUGGGCGCAAGCCUGAUGCAGCGACGCCGCGUGAGGGAUGGAGGCCUUCGGGUUGUAAACCUCUUUUAUCGGGGAGCAAGCGAGAGUGAGUUUACCCGUUGAAUAAGCACCGGCUAACUACGUGCCAGCAGCCGCGGUAAUACGUAGGGUGCAAGCGUUAUCCGGAAUUAUUGGGCGUAAAGGGCUCGUAGGCGGUUCGUCGCGUCCGGUGUGAAAGUCCAUCGCUUAACGGUGGAUCCGCGCCGGGUACGGGCGGG
rnacentral:rRNA from 1 species